UUGUUCGGAAUCACUGGGCUUAAAGGGCGCGUAGGCGGGUGUUCAAGUCCGGGGUGAAAUCCUCCAGCUCAACUGGAGAACUGCCUCGGAUACUGGGUGCCUCGAGUGUGGUAGGGGUGUGCGGAACUAUCGGUGGAGCGGUGAAAUGCGUUGAUAUCGAUAGGAACUCCGGUGGCGAAGGCGGCACACUGGACCACAACUGACGCUGAGGCGCGAAAGCCAGGGGAGCAAACGGG
rnacentral:rRNA from 1 species